UACGAAGGGGGCUAGCGUUGCUCGGAAUCACUGGGCGUAAAGCGCACGUAGGCGGAUUUCUAAGUCAGGGGUGAAAUCCUGGAGCUCAACUCCAGAACUGCCUUUGAUACUGGGAAUCUCGAGUCCGGGAGAGGUGAGUGGAACUGCGAGUGUAGAGGUGAAAUUCGUAGAUAUUCGGAGGAACACCAGUGGCGAAGGCGGCUAUCUGGCCCGUAAUUGACGCUGAGGCGCGAAAGCGUGGGGAGCAAACAGG
rnacentral:rRNA from 1 species